rnacentral:rRNA from 1 species
UGGAUCCAGACUUUGAUCAUGGCUCAGGAUGAACGCUAGCUACAGGCUUAACACAUGCAAGUCGAGGGGCAGCAUUCUUGUAGCAAUACAAGAGAUGGCGACCGGCGCACGGGUGAGUAACACGUAUCCAACCUGCCUUCAACUCGGGGAUAGCCUUUCGAAAGAAAGAUUAAUACCCGAUGGUAUAGCAAUUCCGCAUGGUCUUGCUAUUAAAGAAUUUCGGUUGAAGAUGGGGAUGCGUUCCAUUAGAUAGUUGGCGGGGUAACGGCCCACCAAGUCGACGAUGGAUAGGGGUUCUGAGAGGAAGGUCCCCCACAUUGGAACUGAGACACGGUCCAAACUCCUACGGGAGGCAGCAGUGAGGAAUAUUGGUCAAUGGGCGAGAGCCUGAGCCAGCCAAGUAGCGUGAAGGAUGACCGCCCUAUGGGUUGUAAACUUCUUUUGUGUGGGAAUAAAGUUCGGCACGUGUGCCGUUUUGUAUGUACCAUACGAAUAAGGAUCGGCUAACUCCGUGCCAGCAGCCGCGGUAAUACGGAGGAUCCGAGCGUUAUCCGGAUUUAUUGGGUUUAAAGGGAGCGUAGGCGGGACGUUAAGUCAGUUGUGAAAGUUUGCGGCUCAACCGUGAAAUUGCAGUUGAUACUGGCGUCCUUGAGUGCGGCAGAGGCAGGCGGAAUUCGUGGUGUAGCGGUGAAAUGCUUAGAUAUCACGAAGAACUCCGAUUGCGAAGGCAGCUUGCUGGACCGUAACUGACGCUGAUGCUCGAAAGUGCGGGUAUCAAACAGGAUUAGAUACCCUGGUAGUCCGCACAGUAAACGAUGAAUGCUCGCUGUUUGCGAUACAGUGUAAGCGGCCAAGCGAAAGCGUUAAGCAUUCCACCUGGGGAGUACGCCGGCAACGGUGCAACUCAAAGGAAUUGACGGA